CAGUAGCCACGGGAAUACGUAGGUGGCAAGUGUUGUCCGGAAUUAUUGGGCGUAAAGGGCUCGCAGGCGGUUUCUUAAGUCUGAUGUGAAAGCCCCCGGCUCAACCGGGGAGGGUCAUUGGAAACUGGGAAACUUGAGUGCAGAAGAGGAGAGUGGAAUUCCACGUGUAGCGGUGAAAUGCGUAGAGAUGUGGAGGAACACCAGUGGCGAAGGCGACUCUCUGGUCUGUAACUGACGCUGAGGAGCGAAAGCGUGGGGAGCGAACAGGAUUAGAUACCCCUGUAGUCCCUGUCUCUUAUAC
rnacentral:rRNA from 1 species